CGUAGGUGGCAAGCGUUAUCCGGAAUUAUUGGGGCGUAAAGCGCGCGUAGGCGGUUUUUUAAGUACUGAUGUGAAAGACCCACCGGCUCAACCGUAGGAGGGUCGAUUGGAAAACGUAGGAAAACUUAGAGUGCAGAAGAAGGAAAGUAGGAAUUACCUAUGUGUAGCGGUGAAAUAGCGCAGAGAUAUGGAGGAACACCAGUGGCGAAGGCGACUUUCUGGUCUGUAACUGACGCUGAUGUGCGAAAGACGUGGGGGAGUACAAACAGGAUU
rnacentral:rRNA from 1 species